rnacentral:lncRNA from 1 species
AGGCGAAGCGCUGAGAAACCUCGUCUUCCGUCUUCCCAAUGGAGGAUCGCUGUGCCUGUUGCAUUUUUUCCUGGGUUGAAGGAGGGGCAGCUGGAAGACAAAGGGAAGGCCAAAAAACCCUCUUCUGGACAGCAGAGAAUCAGCAGCAGGUUUAAAAAGGGAAGCGAAUCCGGUACAUCUGGGAAACAACGUCUUUUCCCUUUUCUCCAGAUAACCACAAAAGUCUUCCCCUUCCCCAGCCAGGAAGAGACAGGAACAAAAAAAUAGGAGAAGAGUUUUGAGCUGAUAAACCAGUAUUUUAUGUGUAACUCAAGGAAACAUGAUAUAAAAAAAUAAAAGUGGAACAUUUCCAGAUUCAGAUAAGAAGGAAAUAUCUAGAAGUCUGUGUUACGGAAAUAAACGGCUUGAACCACCC